UACGUAGGGUGCGAGCGUUAAUCGGAAUUACUGGGCGUAAAGCGUGCGCAGGCGGUGAUGUAAGACAGGUGUGAAAUCCCCGGGCUUAACCUGGGAACUGCAUUUGUGACUGCAUCGCUGGAGUGCAGCAGAGGGGGAUGGAAUUCCGCGUGUAGCAGUGAAAUGCGUAGAUAUGCGGAGGAACACCGAUGGCGAAGGCAAUCCCCUGGGCCUGCACUGACGCUCAUGCACGAAAGCGUGGGGAGCAAACAGG
rnacentral:rRNA from 1 species